rnacentral:lncRNA from 12 species
AUUUUUUACAUGUUAUAGUUGAAGAAACAACAUUUUGGAGAAGGAGAGGAGCUUUUAGAUCUUCAACCAGACACCUGCCAGAAGUACCUUUAACAUGCAAACUAGCCAAGGGAGUUUGCCGGCUUCUAGUCACCAUCAAAGCAGAGAACCUGAAGAAAGAUCCCACACAUCUUCCAGGCACUGCCCCUGAGCUAUCCCUAAUGAAGAGUCAGGAAAACCAGGUUAGAGAAUUAUGUGUUUCCUAAGGAAGGUUGGGCUGUUGUUCACUUACAGUCACUCGAAA